GACGAACGCUGGCGGCGUGCUUAACACAUGCAAGUCGAACGGAAAGGCCUGCUUUCCCUUGUGGAUUGCGGGUACUCGAGUGGCGAACGGGUGAGUAACACGUGAGUGAUCUGCCCCCAACUUGGGUAUAAGCCUGGGAAACUGGGUCUAAUUCCCGAUAGGACUGCAGGGUGGUGCCUGUGGUGGAAAACGAUUUUCUAGUGGCUGGGGAUGAGCUCGCGGCCUAUCAGCUUGUUGGUGGGGUAAUGGCCUACCAAGGCGGCGACGGGUAGCCGGCCUGGGAGGGUGGACGGCCACAUUGGGACUGAGAUACGGCCCAGACUCCUACGGGAGGCAGCAGUGGGGAAUAUUGCACAAUGGGCGGAAGCCUGAUGCAGCGACGCCGCGUGGGGGAUGACGGCCUUCGGGUUGUAAACUCCUUUCGACCGCGAGGAAGCCACCUGGUUGGAAGGGUGGUGACGGUAGUGGUAGAAGAAGCACCGGCUAACUACGUG
rnacentral:rRNA from 1 species